rnacentral:misc_RNA from 1 species
GAUGGAAGAACGUAGCGAAAUGCGAUACGUAAUGUGAAUUGCAGAAUUCAGUGAAUCAUCGAAUCUUUGAACGCAUAUUGCGCUCUCUGGUAUUCCGGAGAGCAUGCUUGUUUGAGUAUCAGUAAACACCUCAACUCCCUUUUCUUUUUUGAAAUUGGAGCUGGACUUGAGUGAUCCCAACGCUUUCUUCCAAGAAAGUGGCGGGUUGCUUGAAAUGCAGGUGCAGCUGAACUUUUCUCUGAGCUAUAAGCAUAUCUAUUUAGUCUGCCUAAAAAACAGAUUAUUACCUGUGCUGCAGCUAACAUAAAGGAGACUAGUUCUUGUGCUGACUGAUGCAGGAUUCACAGAGACAGCUUCGGCUGACUUUGUAAACUCGAUCUCAAAUCAAGUAAGACUACCCGCUGAACUUAAGCAUAUCAAUAAGCGGAGGA